AUUACUUUUAUUAUCAGCUCCUAGCAAAGAAAGAUGCGUAGCUAAGAAGCAGUAGCAGUUUUCUGCAGGCAACUUUGUUUCAAACUAGUCUAGAAUAGCUACUCUGCCAGGAUCUCUAAGUUUCGAACGGAGAAGUAUACCAGCCAAGGCCCCAGCGAAGGAUCAUUUCACAAGUAAGCUCUGUGUGUGUAUAGCGAUCAUCAUUUUCCUAGUUCAGCCUUUAGAAGCCUUUUGAGCUGAUUUAAUAUGCUUGUCCACCUACCUAGAUAGCCUCUGAGUGUGUGAAAUAUACUGGAAGAGUAGCUUCGUGAGUUUAGAGCCUGUUUUUAGAGUGUAGUCUACAACGUUUGAUAUUCAAAAUUAUUUUCUCUUUUUCAGCAUUCGCCUCUAGCAAAGAAAGGUGCAUAACUUGGAAACAGUGACAGUUUUCUUUAUUCAACUUCUUAGCAAAGUAGUCUACAGUAGUUACUGUGUCAGGAUCUCCUGGUUUCCAACAAAACAGUCAAGCAGCCAAGGGCCAGAGCAAGGGAUCACUUCAGAGUGUGGCAAAGAAAGAUGCACCCCUUAGUAACAGUAACAGUUCUCUUCAAGCUACCUUGUAGAACAGUCGAAGAGUCAACCAGCCAAGGACAGAGCGAGAGAUUACUUUAGAGCUGUGAAGAAUGCUGGACACCGGAAAGUUUGGGCUAACAGAUUGGUUGAGAUGGUGGGAGUCCAUAGGCAGGCCAGGAGUAGAACUGCUUACAUUCUGUGAAACAAUCGUCACUGCUAUCUGCCAUGGUACCACCACCAUCUUAUGGGUCUGAGAAGUCCUACUCACUGUCACUACUAUCCAAGAUACCCAGGAUACCUCAUCCCCUGUGUACAGAGGCCUCUUUGUUAUUGUUGUACCAUAGAAUUAAUUGUAAUUGUAUUUCUUAUAAUGUAUGUUCACUUUUGAGAUUGAUAUUGAAUUUAUAUAAAUACAAAUUUCACACGAAAUUUUAAGCAAAUUUUUGAUUGGUAA